ACGUUGCCUCGGCGGAUCAGCCCGCGCCCUGUAAAAAGGGACGGCCCGCCCGAGGACCCUAAACUCUGUUUUUAGUGGAACUUCUGAGUAAAACAAACAAAUAAAUCAAAACUUUCAACAACGGAUCUCUUGGUUCUGGCAUCGAUGAAGAACGCAGCAAAAUGCGAUAAGUAAUGUGAAUUGCAGAAUUCAGUGAAUCAUCGAAUUUUUGAACGCACAUUGCGCCCGCCAGUAUUCUGGCGGGCAUGCCUGUUCGAGCGUCAUUUCAACCCUCAAGCUCAGCUUGGUGUUGGGACUCGCGGUAACCCGCGUUCCCCAAAUCGAUUGGCGGUCACGUCGAGCUUCCAUAGCGUAGUAAUCAUACACCUCGUUACUGGUAAUCGUCGCGGCCACGCCGUAAAACCCCAACUUCUGAAUGUUGACCUCGGAUCAGGUAGGAAUACCCGCUGAACUUAAGCAUAUCAAUAAGCGGAGGA
rnacentral:rRNA from 1 species